rnacentral:lncRNA from 1 species
CGCCUGUUUUUGGUGCCAUGACGUGCCAAGGUGUAUGCAGUGUUGUUCCAUGCUCACGGCAGUUCAGAGAUGAAGUUGGGGGGUCGGGCGACCCCCCCCACACUUGCAGUUUUCGUGCAGCUGAACUUAAAACAGAGAGAGACGAUCAAAUGCAGAUGUCCUGCUGGUGGCAACACACCAGCAGGACCAAAAACGACUCCAUUAAAUCAAAUUUCAAUUGUAUAGGC